AAUUAGGCAGUUUGGUUGAAGAUUCCGUAUUUGAUUGAUAGCACAAAGGGGAAGGAGUUCCUAUUUCCUCAUCUUCACCUCUCAUCUCCAUUAAUAUCUGAUCUCCAAAAAAAAGCUGAAGUUUGCUUUUGUUCCUGUUCUACCGUCAACUUUCAACAGUUCUCUGCUCCUCCUUUCUCGGUAACUUUUUUUUUCUACCAAUCCCUACAUAUGAAUGAUACAAUUCCUUUUGAUUUACUGAGCUUGUAUGAGUAAGUUUUCAGCUAAGUUUAGUUUUGAUUAUCUAACAAACUCUCCCUUACAUUAAAUAAGUUUAAAUACAUUCAAAGUUUAGGAGAAAAAAUGGAGCUUUGUCAGUCUACCUCUAUUAUUUUGUUUCUUUAGGAGAAAAAAAUGGAGGUUACCUAUCUCUAUUAUUCUGUUUUUUUCUGGGUGGGAAACGCUAGAAGUUUCUUAAUCCUUAUUAAUUAAUUUGUAUAAUGCAGAUCAGCUAUUGCAAACUAAUCAAAGAAUAAUUUUCUUGGAUUAGCAACCUUAUAGGAUGUUAACCUUUUAGAAAAAAAUCUCGCCUAUAUUUAGUUAAGUAGAAAUGAUUACUUAUGUAUUUAUUAAGCCUUUGCAAGCUGAUUAAUUGUUGCCCAACGUCUCUAACUACUAAGGUUAGCAAUUAAUUGUAAUUAAUAGCAUAAAUAAUUUAUGUUAACAUAUGAACUUAAUUUUCUUCAUUAGGUAUCACAUUUAAUGUUAGCUA